AGCGAACGUUAGCGGCGGGCCUAACACAUGCAAGUCGAACGAGAAUGAGGGGGCAACUCCUCUAGUAAAGUGGCGGACGGGUGCGUAACACGUUGGUAAUCUACCUUCCGGCGGGGGACAACAGUCCGAAAGGAUUGCUAAUACCGCAUACGUCGGCGAGAUCUACGGAUCUUGUCGGGAAAGAUGGCCUCUCCUUGGAAGCUGUCACCGGAAGAUGAACCUGCGGCCCAUCAGCUUGNGGUGAGGUAACGGCUCACCAAGGCUAAGACGGGUAGCUGGUCUGAGAGGAUGAUCAGCCACACUGGGACUG
rnacentral:rRNA from 1 species